rnacentral:tRNA from 1 species
UCCCUGGUGGUCCAGUGGUUAGGACUCCACUUUUUCACGGCCAAGGGCCCAGGUUCAAUCCCAGGUUAGGGAA